UGCAGUCGAACGAUGAUGCCCAGCUUGCUGGGCGGAUUAGUGGCGAACGGGUGAGUAAUACGUGAGUAACCUGCCCUUGACUCUGGGAUAAGCCUGGGAAACUGGGUCUAAUACUGGAUACUACCUCUUGCCGCAUGGUGGGUGGUGGAAAGGGUUUUACUGGUUUUGGAUGGGCUCACGGCCUAUCAGCUUGUUGGUGGGGUAAUGGCUCACCAAGGCGACGACGGGUAGCCGGCCUGAGAGGGUGACCGGCCACACUGGGACUGAGACACGGCCCAGACUCCUACGGGAGGCAGCAGUGGGGAAUAUUGCACAAUGGGCGGAAGCCUGAUGCAGCGACGCCGCGUGAGGGAUGACGGCCUUCGGGUUGUAAACCUCUUUCAGUAGGGAAGAAGCGAGAGUGACGGUACCUGCAGAAGAAGCGCCGGCUAACUACGUGCCAGCAGCCGCGGUAAUACGUAGGGCGCAAGCGUUGUCCGGAAUUAUUGGGCGUAAAGAGCUCGUAGGCGGUUUGUCGCGUCUGCUGUGAAAGCCCGGGGCUCAACCCCGGGUCUGCAGUGGGUACGGGCAGACUAGAGUGCAGUAGGGGAGACUGGAAUUCCUGGUGUAGCGGUGAAAUGCGCAGAUAUCAGGAGGAACACCGAUGGCGAAGGCAGGUCUCUGGGCUGUUACUGACGCUGAGGAGCGAAAGCAUGGGGAGCGAACAGGAUUAGAUACCCUGGUAGUCCAUGCCGUAAACGUUGGGCACUAGGUGUGG
rnacentral:rRNA from 2 species